rnacentral:tmRNA from 1 species
GGGGGCGUCACGGUUUCGACGGGAUCGAUUGCGGCAUGGGAGGCAUGUCGGGGUGUGGGCACCCGUAAUCGCCUGCAAAACAAAAGUUGCCAACGAUAAUCUGGCACUUGCUGCUUAAUUAACUAAGCAGCCGUCUUUCGCGGUUUCGCCUAUGGACUGCGAGUAAGACGUCAUUCAGUAGGCUGGUGGUUGCAGCUCGGUCCGUGUUGCAAUCACGAGAUCAUCGGACUAGCUUUCGGCGCGUCUUGUCCGUUCUUAAGUGCCGCGGAGCGAACUCAGUCGAACCGGACACAGCAUGGACUCUCCCGGCUGACAGCGAUUUCGGACGCGGGUUCGACUCCCGCCGCCUCCACCA